rnacentral:rRNA from 1 species
GCCUGAUGCAGCAACGCCGCGUGAGGGAUGACGGCCUUCGGGUUGUAAACCUCUUUUAGCAGGGAAGAAGCGAAAGUGACGGUACCUGCAGAAAAAGCGCCGGCUAACUACGUGCCAGCAGCCGCGGUAAUACGUAGGGCGCAAGCGUUAUCCGGAAUUAUUGGGCGUAAAGAGCUCGUAGGCGGUUUGUCGCGUCUGCUGUGAAAUCCGGAGGCUCAACCUCCGGCCUGCAGUGGGUACGGGCAGACUAGAGUGCGGUAGGGGAGAUUGGAAUUCCUGGUGUAGCGGUGGAAUGCGCAGAUAUCAGGAGGAACACCGAUGGCGAAGGCAGAUCUCUGGGCCGUAACUGACGCUGAGGAGCGAAAGGGUGGGGAGCAAACAGGCUUAGAUACCCUGGUAGUCCACCCCGUAAACGUUGGGAACUAGUUGUGGGGUCCAUUCCACGGAUUCCGUGACGCAGCUAACGCAUUAAGUUCCCCGCCUGGGGAGUACGGCCGCAAGGCUAAAACUCAAAGGAAUUGACGGGGACCCGCACAAGCGGCGGAGCAUGCGGAUUAAUUCGAUGCAACGCGAAGAACCUUACCAAGGCUUGACAUAUACGAGAACGGGCCAGAAAUGGUCAACUCUUUGGACACUCGUA